rnacentral:pre_miRNA from 1 species
UAUAAUUUUUGAUUCUUCGUCUUAUUCAAUUUUUUUUUGCGAUUGAUAUUUUUGUUUUUAUUAGAUGAUAAAUGAUGAAUAGUACUUUACGUGUGACUAAGUUUUUUCUAAUUUCCUAAAAAAAUUUCAAAUAAGACGAAUGAUCAAAUGUUGGACACGAAAACCGA